GACGAACCGAGCGAACGUUGUUCGGAAUCACUGGGCUUAAAGGGCGCGUAGGCGGGCUGUCAAGUCUGAGGUGAAAUCCCGCGGCUCAACCGUGGAACUGCCUUAGAUACUGACGGCCUCGAGGGAGGUAGGGGCGAGCGGAACUGUGAGUGGAGCGGUGAAAUGCGUUGAUAUUCACAGGAACUCCGGUGGCGAAGGCGGCUCGCUGGACCUUUUCUGACGCUGAGGCGCGAAAGCUAGGGGAGCAAACGGG
rnacentral:rRNA from 1 species